rnacentral:rRNA from 1 species
AGGACGAACGCUGGCGGCGUGCCUAACACGUGCAAGUCGAACGGGGCCAGGGGCAACUCUGGUUCAGUGGCGGACGGGUGCGUAACACGUGAGGAACAUGACCUUCGGCGGGGGAUAGCCCGGCCCAACGGGCCGGGUAAUACCGCGUACGACCACAUGGGGACAUCCCUGAGUGGUGAAAGCAGCAAUGCGCCGAUGGAGUGCCUCGCGGCCUAUCAGCUAGGUUGGUGAGGUAACGCUCACCAAGGGCAACGGACGGGUAGC